rnacentral:rRNA from 1 species
GGAUCGCGGCGACGUUGGCGGUUCGCUGCCGAUAACGUCGCGAGAAGUCCACUGAACCUUAUCAUUUAGAGGAAGGAGAAGUCGUAACAAGGUUUCCGUAGGUGAACCUGCGGAAGGAUCAUUG